rnacentral:rRNA from 1 species
AGAGUUUGAUCCUGGCUCAGAUUGAACGCUGGCGGCAUGCCUUACACAUGCAAGUCGAACGGCAGCACGGAGCUUGCUCUGGUGGCGAGUGGCGAACGGGUGAGUAAUAUAUCGGAACGUACCCUAGAGUGGGGGAUAACGUAGCGAAAGUUACGCUAAUACCGCAUACGAUCUAAGGAUGAAAGUGGGGGAUCGCAAGACCUCAUGCUCGUGGAGCGGCCGAUAUCUGAUUAGCUAGUUGGUAGGGUAAAAGCCUACCAAGGCAUCGAUCAGUAGCUGGUCUGAGAGGACGACCAGCCACACUGGAACUGAGACACGGUCCAGACUCCUACGGGAGGCAGCAGUGGGGAAUUUUGGACAAUGGGCGAAAGCCUGAUCCAGCAAUGCCGCGUGAGUGAAGAAGGCCUUCGGGUUGUAAAGCUCUUUUGUCAGGGAAGAAACGGUGAGAGCUAAUAUCUCUUGCUAAUGACGGUACCUGAAGAAUAAGCACCGGCUAACUACGUGCCAGCAGCCGCGGUAAUACGUAGGGUGCAAGCGUUAAUCGGAAUUACUGGGCGUAAAGCGUGCGCAGGCGGUUUUGUAAGUCUGAUGUGAAAUCCCCGGGCUCAACCUGGGAAUUGCAUUGGAGACUGCAAGGCUAGAAUCUGGCAGAGGGGGGUAGAAUUCCACGUGUAGCAGUGAAAUGCGUAGAUAUGUGGAGGAACACCGAUGGCGAAGGCAGCCCCCUGGGUCAAGAUUGACGCUCAUGCACGAAAGCGUGGGGAGCAAACAGGAUUAGAUACCCUGGUAGUCC